rnacentral:rRNA from 1 species
CCUACGGGUGGCAGCAGUGAGGAAUAUUGGUCAAUGGACGCAAGCCUGAACCAGCCAUGCCGCGUGCAGGAAGACGGCUCUAUGAGUUGUAAACUGCUUUUGUACGAGGGUAAACGCAGAUACUUGUAUCUGUCUGAAAGUCUCGUACGAAUAAGGAUCGGCUAACUCCGUGCCAGCAGCCGCGGUAAUACGGAGGAUUCAAGCGUUAUCCGGAUUUAUUGGGUUUAAAGGGUGCGUAGGCGGUCGGAUAAGUUAGAGGUGAAAUCCCGAGGCUCAACUUCGGAAUUGCCUUUGAUACUGUUCGGCUAGAGGGGAGGUGCGGGAGGCGGAAUGUAUGGUGUAGCGGUGAAAUGCUUAGAGAUCAUACAGAACACCGAUUGCGAAGGCAGAUUACCAAGCUACUUCUGACGUUGAGGCACGAAAGCGUGGGGAGCAAACAGGAUUAGAUACCCCUGUAGUC